AAUACACAAUAACGUUACUUAAAUUUACGGGCCAUCUCGGCAAAAAAUGUGAUUUGACAUUUGUUCAGAAAGAUGCUUGCUUCUGUCUCCGGAGCCUGACCAGAAAACCGCUUCGUUUGCCCCUUUUAUGGCGUCGUUGUUUUGGGUCACCGGCUGGGAUCCGAUCCAUUGUCCUUGGUGGAAGGCUAAGCACAGGAUCCGCUUCUGGAAAGUCAUAUUCCUGGUCGUAAUGAUGGACCUGAGCCCUAGGACCAUGCCUCAGGACUACCUGACAUGAUGACUCCUUGCUGUCCCCAGUCUACCUGGCCGUGCUGCUGCUCCAGUUUAAACUGUUCUGCCUUAUUAUUAUUGGACCAUGCUGGUCAUUUAUGAACAUUUGAACAUCCUGGCCAUGUUCUGUUAUAAUCUCCACCCGGCACAGCCAGAAGAGGCCACCCCACAUAGUCUGGUUCCUCUCUAGGUUUCUUCCUAGGUUUUGGCCUUUCUUGGGAGUUUUUCCUAGCCACCGUGCUUCUACACCUGCAUUGCUUGCUGUUUGGGGUUUUAGGCUGGGUUUCUGUACAGCACUUUGAGAUAUCAGCUGAUGUACGAAGGGCUAUAUAAAUAAAUUUGAUUUGAAUAUGUGGAAUCAGGAUCCCAUGUGUCACAAAUCAAUAAAUAUUACUAAGGGAAUAAACAGUAUACAGUGGAUUUUGCUGAACACGUGGGACUCCUAACAUGUUUUAUUGUGCUUGAUAGAAUGAUAAUACUUGAGGCUUACCAUUCAGUUCUGGAUUUAAUCCCCUGGGCACUAGGAGUAUAAGAAAGUUAUAGGGGCCGUAUGGUAUGCGUGGGGAUUGCUUGAGCGAUGGUGUCUGCCAACUCAUUUAUCACUAGACUCUCAGUCAGAAAGGGGAGAUCGGAUUCUAGAGGUUUCUAUGGCCUGGCUAAAAAUACACUCACCCGAGGGUUUCCACACACCCACACACAAAACCGCACACGCAUGCAGACCGAACAGAGAUAUGGGCGGAGUCGCACGUAUUAGGGAUUGAAUGUGAUCAUAGGACAAUCACGGGACAGACACAGGACUCUUCACUAACCCAAGAUGAGAAAGGUUGUCCGGUAAGCCAGGGGAAGUGGAUCAGGUGUCCACACCUGGCCUUGGGGAUUGGGUGGAGAGAGGAGAGUGGCACUGGGAACGAGAGAAAAACACACACACACACACACACACACACACACACACACACACACACACACACACACACACUCAUCCCCCUUGUAAGAGCUCAUUUUGGCUGUUUCUGGUAAAUGAGUAGAAAUGAUGGUGGUGUUUCUAUAUGUGGGUGCAUGAGAGACAGAGCCAAUGAAAGAGAUAAUGAAAUAAAGAGAGGGGGCAAGAGAGAGAAAGAGAGAGGGUGAGGUACAGGAGCCCCCUGCUGAGCGCCAAACAGCUUCACAGAGUUAUUUACAGAUCAGUCCAUCAACAAAUGGCAGGUGCAGCAUCCUCACAAACAGGCCUAUUGGCUUUCCUCUCCCUGGAAUGCUGAAAUAUCCUCUCCAGCUAGCGCUCUGUGGAUUAUGUCUCAGUAACUCACUCUCUCUCAUACAUUGCGCUUGCGUCUGUUGUACGCCAUCCACUCACACAUAUAUGUCUCAUGUACUGUAUGUCUAUCUUCAUGUUUAAAGUGACAUCAUAGGGCAUAGUUAUCCCCAAUCCUAGCUUGUGAUGUCUGUGCUUGUUGGCUACGUUUGUUUUACCAUAGUAUGAGUCCCUGGAGACCUUUUAGAAUUAGCAUGUGUACACUGCAUGUACAAAACAUGAACACCUGCUCUUUCCAUGUGAAAGAGCAGGUGAAAGCUAUAAUCCCUUAUUGAUGUCACUUGUUCAAUCCACUUCAAUCAGUGUGGAGACGAAGGGGAGGAGACUGGUUAAAGGAAGAUUUUAAACCUCGAGACAAUUGAGACAUCGAUUGGGUUCAGUUGAAGUCGGAAGUUUACAUACACCUUAGCCAAAUACAUUUAACUCAGUUUUUCAAAAUUCCUGACAUUUAAUCCUAGUAAAAAUUCCCAGUUGUAGGUCAGUAAGGAUUACCA